rnacentral:rRNA from 1 species
ACGGCGAGUGAAGCGGCAACAGCUCAAAUUUGAAAUCUGGCUCUCGGGCCCGAGUUGUAAUUUGUAGAGGAUGCUUUUGGUGAGGUGCCUUCCGAGUUCCCUGGAACGGGACGCCAUAGAGGGUGAGAGCCCCGUCUGGUUGGACGCCGAACCUCUGUAAAGCUCCUUCGACGAGUCGAGUAGUUUGGGAAUGCUGCUCUAAAUGGGAGGUAUAUGUCUUCUAAAGCUAAAUACCGGCCAGAGACCGAUAGCGCACAAGUAGAGUGAUCGAAAGAUGAAAAGAACUUUGAAAAGAGAGUUAAACAGUACGUGAAAUUGUUGAAAGGGAAGCGCUUGUGACCAGACUUGGGCUUGGUUGAUCAUCCGGGGUUCUCCCCGGUGCACUCUUCCGGCUCAGGCCAGCAUCAGUUCGCCCUGGGGGAUAAAGGCAUCGGGAACGUGGCUCUCUCCGGGGAGUGUUA